rnacentral:rRNA from 2 species
GCGACCCCAGGAGGGGCGAGGCCACCCGCCGAGUUUAAGCAUAUCAAUAAGCGGAGGAGAAG